UAUUUCAUAGUCCGUCUAUUA
rnacentral:piRNA from 1 species